AGUGAACGCUGGCGGUAGGCCUAACACAUGCAAGUCGAACGGCAGCACAGUAAGAGCUUGCUCUUACGGGUGGCGAGUGGCGGACGGGUGAGGAAUACAUCGGAAUCUACCUUUUUGUGGGGGAUAACGUAGGGAAACUUACGCUAAUACCGCAUACGACCUACGGGUGAAAGCAGGGGAUCUUCGGACCUUGCGCGAUUGAAUGAGCCGAUGUCGGAUUAGCUAGUUGGCGGGGUAAAGGCCCACCAAGGCGACGAUCCGUAGCUGGUCUGAGAGGAUGAUCAGCCACACUGGAACUGAGACACGGUCCAGACUCCUACGGGAGGCAGCAGUGGGGAAUAUUGGACAAUGGGCGCAAGCCUGAUCCAGCCAUACCGCGUGGGUGAAGAAGGCCUUCGGGUUGUAAAGCCCUUUUGUUGGGAAAGAAAAGCAGCAGGUUAAUACCCCGCUGUUCUGACGGUACCCAAAGAAUAAGCACCGGCUAACUUCGUG
rnacentral:rRNA from 1 species